AACGAACGCUGGCGGCAGGCUUAACACAUGCAAGUCGAGCGCCCCGCAAGGGGAGCGGCAGACGGGUGAGUAACACGUGGGGAUCUGCCCAAUGGUACGGAAUAGCUCCGGGAAACUAGAAAUAAUACCGUAUGUGCCCGCAAGGGGAAAGAUUUAUCGCCAUUGGAUGAACCCGCGUCGGAUUAGCUAGUUGGUGAGGUAAAGGCUCACCAAGGCGACGAUCCGUAGCUGGUCUGAGAGGAUGAUCAGCCACACUGGGACUGAGACACGGCCCAGACUCCUACGGGAGGCAGCAGUGGGGAAUAUUGGACAAUGGGCGCAAGCCUGAUCCAGCCAUGCCGCGUGAGUGAUGAAGGCCUUAGGGUUGUAAAGCUCUUUCGCCGACGAAGAUAAUGACGGUAGUCGGAGAAGAAGCCCCGGCUAACUUCGUGCCAGCAGCCGCAGUAACAC
rnacentral:rRNA from 1 species